rnacentral:rRNA from 1 species
AUUGAACGCUGGCGGCAGGCCUAACACAUGCAAGUCGAACGAGUGGCGGACGGGUGAGUAAUGUCUGGGAAACUGCCUGAUGGAGGGGGAUCACUACUGGAAACGGUAGCCAAUACCGCAUACCAUCGGAUGUGCCCAGAUGGGAUUAGGUAGUAGGUGGGGUAAAGGCUCACCUAGGCGACGAUCCCUAGCUGGUCUGAGAGGAUGACCAGCCAAACUGGAACUGAGACACGGUCCAGACUCCUACGGGAGGCAGCAGUGGGGAUUAUUGGACAAUGGGGGCAAGCCGUAUGCAGAAAUGCCGCGUGGAUGAAGAAGGCCUUCGGGUUGUAAAGUACUUUCAGCGGGGAGGCGUUACCCGCAGAAGAAGCACCGGCUAACUCCGUGCCAGCAGCCGCGGUAAUUC